rnacentral:rRNA from 1 species
AGAGUUUGAUCCUGGCUCAGGACGAACGCUGGCGGCAUGCCUAAUACAUGCAAGUCGAGCGGUGCAGCAAUGCAUAGCGGCGGACGGGUGAGUAACGCGUGGGCAACCUGCCUCAAAGAUUGGGAUAACACCUCGAAAGGGGUGCUAAUACCGAGUGUGCUCUAUGAGUUGCAUGACUUGUAGAGGAUAGGAGAAAUUCGUUUUGAGAUGGGCCCGCGUCUGAUUAGCUAGUUGGUAGGGUAAUGGCCUACCAAGGCGACGAUCAGUAGCCGACCUGAGAGGGUGAUCGGCCACACUGGGACUGAGACACGGCCCAGACUCCUACGGGAGGCAGCAGUCGGGAAUAUUGGUCAAUGGACGAAAGUCUGAACCAGCAAUGCCGCGUGAGUGAUGAAGGUCUUCGGAUCGUAAAACUCUGUCUUUGGGGACGAAGAAAGUGACGGUACCCAAGGAGGAAGCCCCGGCNAANUACGUGCCAGCCGCCGCGGUAAUAC